CCUACGGGUGGCAGCAGUGGGGAAUAUUGCACAAUGGGGGAAACCCUGAUGCAGCGACGCCGCGUGAGUGAAGAAGUAUUUCGGUAUGUAAAGCUCUAUCAGCAGGGAAGAAAAUGACGGUACUUGCUUAAGAAUCCCCGGCUAACUACGUGCCAGCAGCAGCGGUAAUACGUAGGGGGCAAGCGUUAUCCGGAUUUACUGGGUGUAAGGGGAGCGUAGGCGGCAGCACAAGUCUGGAGUGAAAUGCCGGGGCUUAACCCCGGAUCUGCUGUGGAAACUGUGCAGCUAGAGUGCAGCAGAGGUAAGUGGAAUUCCUAGUGUAGCGGUGAAAUGCGUAGAUAUUAGGAGGAACACCAGUGGCGAAGGCGGCUUACUGGACUGUAACUGACGUUGAGGCUCGAAAGCGUGGGGAGCAAACAGGAUUAGAUACCCUUGUAGUC
rnacentral:rRNA from 1 species